rnacentral:rRNA from 1 species
CAGUAGCCGCGGUAAUACGUAGGGUGCAAGCGUUAAUCGGAAUUACUGGGCGUAAAGCGUGCGCAGGCGGUUUGUUAAGACAGAUGUGAAAUCCCCGGGCUCAACCUGGGAACUGCAUUUGUGACUGGCAAGCUAGAGUAUGGCAGAGGGGGGUGGAAUUCCGCGUGUAGCAGUGAAAUGCGUAGAUAUGCGGAGGAACACCGAUGGCGAAGGCAGCCCCCUGGGCCAAUACUGACGCUCAUGCACGAAAGCGUGGGGAGCAAACAGGAUUAGAUACCCCAGUAGUCCCUGUCUCUUAUAU